rnacentral:ribozyme from 1 species
UGUACCGGUUGCUUUGUAAUGGUAUGGGAUCCGAAGCCCUUGGAGGGAUAAUAUAGGCUCUCCCAUCCAACUCGUAUUCCGACACGUCUUCGUCGUGCAGAGUGGUAACAUGUGCCACCACAUAUCCAAGAUUGGGUACACGGGAUAGAUCCCACCCCUUUGGGCGGAUGGUGGCAUAUGGCGAACUAGGAGGGG